rnacentral:pre_miRNA from 1 species
AGUCUUCUGUAUCCGUGCUGAGAUUUCAUCAGCGAUCAAACCACUGGCGCGUUGGCUGAUGCGACUCCCCAAAUAAGUGAAGUA